UGUCAUCUGGACUGAGCUUGUGUUGGCUUUGCAGAUACUAACUAUUAGGAUCACGGUCUUAAUGCAGGCAAUCAAACUGCUAUGAUUUGAUGUGUUCAAGAGUCAUGGCAUUUGCAGAUGACAGCAUUUCACUGCUCUCUACCAUUCAACUCUGAAAUUCUUUACAUGCCACCAUCUAUGAUGUUCUCUGAACCUUGGGAAGAGCAGCCUGAACAGAUUCUUAAAGCACUAUGUAAAUUUAUCUGGAAGGAUCACUGAAGUUCUCUGCAUUCCCCAUCAACAACUGAACUGUCAUCUUUAGACUGACACUACAAGCUUAUCAUUGGAGCUCUGGUUUCUUACCUUCCCUCAUUGAUCUAUAUUGAGUUUAAAACAUGUAAGUCAAUCAAAACUGUUGGCAACCUGAAAGAGAGAAAGAAAGUGGAAAGAGGUUUACAACCUGAAACGAAAAGAUGUCACAAGACUAAAAUUCAGUUUUGGUCCACUGUGAAUAAGACCUUUAAAAACCUUUGCCUGCCAGCCAUGUAAAAAGAUACUUAUAUUUUCCAUCAGCCAAGAGGUAGGACUGUAACUUCU